GCGGGUGUAGUCUCACGUUCAUACUUAACGCCAACAGUCUGCCUCUUGACGGCAAACCACUGCUGGCGAGAUCUGCGACCGGAGCGGCGUCCGGAGAUGGAGGAUUCCGGUGUCGGAGCGGCGACGCGCGGCCCUUUUGGUUUAGAUUUAAGGUCGGAUGAGGGGAUGGAUUCGAUCAGAUGCAGUAAAGUGAUCUCGCUUUUUUUCGGCCCCUAUAUAUUCCAAUUCUUUGUGCUCAGCUGUUCCAACACCUUGAUCUCGCAUUCCGGAGCUCGGUGGAUCGCUUUCGAUGCUGUAAUGAUUCCUUUUUCGUUUGGGUUUUGGUGCUAGGUUUCCUCUUCCGUGCGAGUUUGCUACUCUCCCUGCCUCCCUCUUGUCUCUUUCUGCUUGAUUUCCCUCGAUCAAUUUUCUGCUUUUCAUAAGGAUCUCUGAGAUCUUGGCCUGGAUUCGUGGGUGUUGGUGUUCAUUUAAGAGGCUGUAUUUGAAAUUUUUGAGCUUUUCCCCCUUUGCCUGUCAUCCUUCGUCAUAUUUCAGGAAAAGUGCAGCCUUUUGCAGAGAUUCCGUUGGAGAGAGAAUUAUUCUCUUGGAUCAAACCUUUUUCUCUUCGAAAUUCCUAUAAAUACUAUGUUGCUUUUCUUUUUCCCAAGACCUGUCUCUGUUAAUUUCUAUGUUUCGGUACUCUUUUUCCUCUCGACAUUCACUUCUUGCUUGCUUUAACCCCCACCCGUCGAAGUCCUGGGUUUCGUUUCAUUUGCUAUAAGUCUGUCUUUCUAUAUGAUAGGACUUCAAAAUAGCAUAUUUCUAUCGUCAUCUGUCAGCUUUUUGUGUUAUGAUUUAAUUGUUCCCCUGACAAAGAAACUUAUAAUGCUGUCCUUUUUGGUCUACAAUUUGAACGGGCGACGGUCGAGACGUGAAUGUUGGGUUUCCACAACCUUUAAAUUAAAUCAAAUUCUGAAGCCUAAAGUGAGAGCUUCUUUUCUUUGAACAUGUGGAGAUUUUCUGCUUGGUAUCGGUGCAUCCUUCCAGGAGUUGAGAUGAGUGGGUUUCAGAAUACGGAGGCAGAGUCUGAAAAAGCCAUCCCUUGGAUAUAUAGGAAGGAUGAUCAACAUAUUUGACUUAAGUGCCGGAAUGGCAGGAACCAAAAUGCUGCCGGAAAGAGAUCAUAGAAAUGGUUCUCCAGUUCAUAGAAACAACCCUAAUGUCAACGAAGCCGCCACUCCGAGUGCGACUAACACAGAUAACAAACAAAUAACCAGUGUCCUGUACCAGAAUUCUUCAAAAAAGAAAUCUGGUGGAACACCAAUGAAGAUGCUAAUAGCUCAGGAGAUGUCGAAAGAAACAAAGUCCAAGAGGAAACCACAUAGUGUUGUUGCCCGACUAAUGGGCCUUGAUGAUGAUCUUACAACACAAUUGUCGCCAGUGGCUAGUCAAAGAAAGUUGCUAGAGGGUUACCCUCAAACUGCCUCAGCAGGAGUCCAUAGAGGUCAUCUUCAAGAUGAUGUCUUUUGCAAUAAGGAAGUUCCUUGUGAGCUCCAUCAACAUGAUUGUUUGAAGAUGGAACGCAGAUAUGUAUCUGAAGUCUGGAAGCAGCCAUCACAGAGCAGGAGCAGAAGAUGUGGAGAGACUCAGAAUGACCUAAGAAUGGCUCUUGUCCGUCAAAAAUUCAUGGAAGCAAAGCAUCUAGCCACUGAUGAAAACCUUAUUCACUCCAAGGAAUUUCAGGAUGCGCUAGAGGUUCUGAAUUUAAACAGAGACUUGUUUCUUAAAUUUCUUGAAGAGCCGAAUUCUCUAUUUUCUAAGCAAACAUUUGAUCUUCGCUCUGUCCCUCCACCACCUCAACCAAAUCACAUUACUGUAUUGAAGCCAUCAAAAAAAGUUGAGACGAAGUUUGAAAAAAUGGUGAAGAAGCAGGAAGGUCCAGAGAUUAAGGAGAGUGGAAGGGAAACAAACAAUCACCACUGGAACUCUACCUUCGACCAUUUAAAAGCUGAAAGCUUCUCUCAGCCGACCAGGAUAGUUGUCUUGAAGCCUAGCACAGGAAAUCCUACCAAAGCACCCACUACAACCAUGUCACCUAAGCAUCUAGUACAGGGUGAUCUGGGAGAUAGUGAAGCCUUCGGACCAAAAUCAGAGGAGAGAACUCAGCAGAUGCAUAAGAUUCUAUCUGGUCAUAGGAGGGAUGAGUCUUUGCUAUCUUCUGUUUACUCAAAUAGCUUUGGUGGAGAUGGGAGUUCAUUCAAUCUGUUCGAAACUGACUACAUUGAGGAAGAUGGUGGUGGCUUUAGCGACUCUGAUGUAGCUGCUCCAACGUCACGCCAUUCUUGGGAUAGAUUCAACAGUCCUUGCUCAGUGUCAUCUUUCAGCCGGGUGUCACAUUCACCUGAGUCAUCAGUGAUUAGAGAGGCAAAGAAACGGCUUUCAGAAAGGUGGGCUUUAGUGACAUCAAAUGGUACAAGCCAAGAGCAACUGCAUUUACCUAAGAGCUCAAGCACUUUAGGUGAAAUGCUUGCGAUUUCUGAUGUAAAAAGAGAAGAAUGUGUCAAUAGGUAUACGGUCUCAGCCAGCAGAUCAUGUGGAGGAGAUGAUGAAUUGAUGUUACCAGCAUUCUUCUUAUCGGUGGAUGGAAAAAAGAAUUCAGGAGAGCUUUCCCCUGAAAAUUUAUCAAGAUCAAAGUCUGUCCCAGUCUCUUGUUCAGCUUACAAAGACAUUGGCUUGAAAUAUGAAGGUUCCAACACUCAGCUUUGUGAACCCACUGUGUCAGAGGUGUCAAAGACCAAACACGGUAAAUCAUCUUUCAGAGGAAGAUUCUCUAGCUUUUUCUUUUCUAGGAGCAAGGAAACUAGAAAAAGACCUGUUUCUUCUACCAUGGUGGGCUCUGGUGGUGCUGAUGUGGUAGCAAGCAGAACUGAUGAGAUGCUAAAAUCAGUUCAUGGUAGUUCGUCUGCAAACAGUCAAGUAAAAGAUGAGGAACAAUCUGCCAGUACAGCUUCAAUAUCGGUGACAAAUGUUUCCAAAAAACACAUGCAAUCAGUUGAAAACUCCAGGACAAGUGACAAAUCUAGUGAGGAGGAGAAACUCAGUCCACGUCAAAAUUACACGAACAACCUGGACCAACCUAGCCCUACUUCAAUUCUGGAUGCACAAUUUGAAGAUGAUGUGAAUGGAAAUCUAUUGCAGACAUCUGAAGCAAAUGCUAGACAACAACUAAUAUCCAGGGCUUCACCUAUAGAGUCAGUUGCUCGUACUUUGUCAUGGGAUGACACCCAUCUGGAAAUGCGACUCCCCGAGCCCUCAAGUUUUAAAGUAGCUUUGUCCAAGGCAGAUGGUGCUGACCAAGAUCAUUUUGUAUUUGUUCAGAAAUUGCUAUCUUAUGCUGGCUUGGAGAAAUCUGAUAUGAUGUUCACUGGAUGGCACUCUCCUGAUAGCCCAUUGGAUCCAGUGUUACUUGACAAACUCUUGGGUCUGAAAGAAGAUGAAUCUAAGUGCAUGGACAAAGGUCCAACCCUGAGGCUCCUAUUUGACUGUGUGAACUUGGCCCUUUUAGAAGUCAGUUGGUCUACCUUAAUGAGUGUAUACCCAUGGAACAGGGCGUCCUGUGGGGCACAGGUUAAUGCUUGUGCAAGUUCUGCCUUGUCAGAGGACGUGUGGGGUCUCGUGAGGGAUUGGUCUUCUGGCAACCGGACGGUGGUGUUUACUGAGAAUGACAUUGGUAGUCUAGUUGUGGAUAGAGUAUUGAGGGCUGAGGCGGGAGGAAACAGAUGGGUUGAAUUGAACAGGAUAGUAGAGGAGAUUGCUAAAGAAAUAACUGGUGAUGUAUUGAAGGAUUUGGUUGGAGAGGCUUUUUCAGAUCUUGCUGCUGCAUGUAUCUACUGAUGCCUUCUUUUCCCUCUCAGCCUCUUCUACUUGGCUUUGUUGUUUUUGCCGCAGCGUUCAGAUUUCUACCAUGCCACAGGCUGGAAUGGAUGCCCGGUCAAGCCUGGGAAAUUUCCCGAGAUGCCACCAUUUGGAACCACGACGUGCUCCUCCAAGGAUUGGCCUAAGGGAGACACCAUUUGAUCAGGUCAAAGAAAAGGACAAGUUCACAGUGAGGGCUGCAGAGAGAGAUUGCUAAUGAGGUCGAGAGAAUCUUUGAGUCUAGUAACGGAGCAUUGUCGUUUGAUGGAUUUGGCCAAUCGACGAACAAGGUGACAUCGAGGCAUUGUUGAGGUCGGACGUGGAGGUAGCUUCCUUUCACAUGGAAAGCAUCAGUCUAUAGCAGGCAGUGGAGCAAGCAACGAAGCAGCUCUAAGCAGAAGAGGAGAGGAGGCCAGAGUACUGGGUAGGCCAUUGGGAUCGCCACCUUUAACCCAAGCAACACUCCUUAACAGUUGGCACAUUGGGUAUCAACGUACGAUAUCCCAAACGUGCUACGAUCAUCUCGGCCUCAAGCUCCCAAAAGGCCACAACAACAAGCAGCCAACUAAUAGGAAGGUUGCUUUCGUCAGAUCCAAUGGACUCGAUAAUCACAGUGAGUUUUCUCCGCCUACGACAAAAAGGGAAAUUCGAGUUAGUGAAGAAGCCGAGUGUGGGCUCCUAGAGGAGGAAGUCGAGACAACUAUCAAAACCAAAGAAAAUUGGGUUACUAAGGUUACUAUCAAUCAUUUUUAUGUUAUGCAAAACAUAAACAAAAUUGAAAGACACAGAUAUACAUGAGCAUUACAUCAAAUACUCCGCUUAUAGUUUUGUCCAUGACACUUAGUGGAAAACUUUAGUGUCAUAUAAUAGUUGAAAUAAUCGCACAUAAACAAAUGAGGGUUGGGCACCCGAUCCGAAUGUAACAUAUAGGUCUAUUAUCCCCGACCCCAGUGAAGCUAGUAAGUCUAGAUGAGAUGGGUUGAAGAUAUUCAUGCUUAGACCAAUUGUUUGAAAUGCAUUAAAAUAUAUGAUGUCGACAGAACUCUUGGUAUCAACCAGGAUCCUCUUUACUAGUUCAUUAAAAACUUUGAGCAACACGACAAGAGCUCUAAGUGCUUA